UUGAAUAUCUGCCUCGUCCAGUUUCCCAUAUCCAUCGUGUGAUCGUCAAGGCAGCGAACCCAUGGCGGACUCGGUGGAGACGUUCCAGACCCACCUAACCUCUGUCAUGGACAGUUUGAUCCGCGCAUCGGUGUGCGAGAUCACCAAACUGUUCCAGGACACGGUGAAUGACUAUCUGGUGGAAAUAUCGCUGAACAGGAAGGAAAUGGACGCUCUGAAACUCCGACUCCGACUGACGGAGAACAAACUGAGAAAUGAACGCAAGUACGGGAUGGGGUGGGCAGAGAAUCGCCGCAAUGCUGGUUUGAUAGUGUCUGAGGACGGUGGGCGGAAAAAGCGGAAAAUUGAAGUGCCUCGUAAGUGUUCAUAUUUAGUAAGUACAGCCACAAAAGCAUCACGGACCAUAAAGUAGUUUAUGUAUUUGUCUUUCCCUAUGUAUAAAACUGACAUUAAACAUCAUUCAUCAUAUUCUGAUUGAAAUGUUAUGUGAUUGCAUAUCACAUCAAUACAAGUUGAUUUCUUGUGUACCAUUAAGUCGAAAGCCUGUAAUGCUUGUGUGAAGAGGUGCUUGUUAUGUUGGAAGCCAUCUGGCAGAGGCUGAGCUGUCUCAUCUCUCCUUCCCUCUCUACUCCUCCGCUCUCCCUCCCCCACCUCCUCUUCAUUUUCUAUCUUUCACCUCCCCCACUCCUAUCUCCGCUCUCCAUCACGACCUCUCUCCUCCCUCCCUCCUUCUCCCUCUGCUCUUCAUCCUGCCCUCUCCUUCUCCCUGCCCCCACCUCCUCCAAUUCUCUAUUCGCUUUCCUCUCCCCUUUUCACUCCCACCCCCUCUGCUCUCCUUUACGCUUCCUCUCUCCUUCUCCCUACUCUGCCUCCUCUCCUUCAUGCUCUCCCUUCCCCCAACUCCUCCACUGUCACUGCUCCCCUCUCACCCCCUCUCGUCCAUGCUCUCUCCUGCGCCAUGCCAUCCCUCCUGCUCUCCUUCAACAUGCUUUCUCCCUUCCCCCAAUUUCUCCACUUCUGUCACCGCUCCCCUCCAUCCUUCAUGCCCCCCUCGCCUCUCUCCCGCUCCCUGCCAUCCCUCCUCCUCUCCCUGCUUUCCUUCCUCUCCUUCAUAAUGCUCUCUCCCUUCCCCCUCUAUUUAUAUCACCGCUCUGUCCCUCCCACUCUUUCCUUAAUGCUCCCUCCUCACCCCAUCCGCUCCCUUUCCUCUCUCCCUUCCUCCUCAGGAGGAAAGCAGACGCUGGGCCUUGCCUUUGGAGGCGCGGGGGAGGAAGGAGGAGGAGCAGCCAGGGUAGUAACGGGGGGAGGGUGGAAGGAGGCACGCGAGCUGUACCUCAUUCAGUUCCCCGGGGAGGAAGGAGAACUAGAGGAGGAGGGGGGCUGUGUUUCGGGAGAGGGGGAGGAGACGGACAACAUCAAAGAGGAGUCCAGUGACAUGGUGGAGGGGGGCUACCAGCCUGCGUCUCUGCGGCUGAUCAAGGAAGCCCUGAAGAUGGACCCGCCCAACCAGAACCGCCAUACUGGAUCCAGAACCCACAGCGAAGGUACUGACACCAGCUCGGAACCAAAAACAUGAUUACAACAACUCUUGGAUAGAGCAAUAACCCCAAUGGGAAUGCUGAAGUUUUCUUGUAGGUUUCACAGGACACUUGUUAACGCCUUUGGCUCUGUACAGUGUUGUCUGCAGUCCGUUGUUUGCAUGUGCCUUCAUAGUACUGCUCCUCUAACAGACCCUCUCAAU
rnacentral:lncRNA from 8 species